rnacentral:rRNA from 1 species
GAUUAAGUUAUUAAGGGCGCACGGUGGAUGCCUUGGCACUAGAAGCCGAUGAAGGACGUUACUAACGACGAUAUGCUUUGGGGAGCUGUAAGUAAGCUUUGAUCCAGAGAUUUCCGAAUGGGGAAACCCAGCAUGAGUUAUGUCAUGUUAUCGAUAUGUGAAUACAUAGCAUAUCAGAAGGCACACCCGGAGAACUGAAACAUCUUAGUACCCGGAGGAAGAGAAAGAAAAUUCGAUUCCCUUAGUAGCGGCGAGCGAAACGGGAAGAGCCCAAACCAACAAGCUUGCUUGUUGGGGUUGUAGGACACUCUAUACGGAGUUACAAAGGACGACAUUAGAC